UAUAAGUGUUUAUGGCACUUUUAAAUCCAUAUCCACCUUGGUUGCAAUGUCAGUCGAUCUUCUUCAUGGAGAUCGACCAAACAUCAACCUUUAUCUUUUAACUCUUUGUCUGAAAAUAUUAUGAAUAAACAAUUCAAAAUA
rnacentral:misc_RNA from 1 species